rnacentral:rRNA from 1 species
GAUGAACGCUGGCGGCGUGCCUAAUACAUGCAAGUCGAGCGAAGCGGGGACGGGUGAGUAACACGUGGAUAACCUCCUAUAAGACUAGGAUAACUUCGGGAAACCGGAGCUAAACCGGAUACUUAUCGAUGGAUCAGCGCUGCAUUAGCUGGUUGGUAAGGUAACGGCUUACCAAGGCAACGAUGCAUAACCGACCGGAGAGGGUGACCGGCAACACUGGAACUGAGACACGGUCCAGACUACUACGUGAGGCAGCAGUAGGUAUUCUUUCGCAAUGGGCGAAAGCCUGACGGAGCAACGCCGCGUGAGUGAUGAAGGUCUUCGGAGCGUAAAACUCUUUUAUUAGGGAAGCGGUACCUAAUCAGAAAGCCACGGCUAACUACGUGCCAGCAGCCGCGGUAAUUC